AUCACUUAAUCCAGUGCAUUUGGACGAAGCUAGGACAUUUCUGUGUAUUUAGUGGUGUAAGCGCUGGAAGUGCAUAUCGUAUUGCUCGUACUGAAGGAGGGAAUGAACUUCAUACUAAGGCUGUUGUUCUUGCAGCGUCCGGCUGACAAUUCAAGAAUUGUUUCAUUUAUGUGGAACUUCCAUGUUUACGCUUUCUGUUCCCUCAUCAAGCAUCUUAUGCGAAGGGAGCGCGCGUUUCGUCGUUCGUUGGUGCUCGACAACAUCGUCUCCCAGCAACUAAGGCGGUACCGGCUGCCGAGGGAUCAGAUAUCGGGUCUGUGCACAGCACAAGAACCGCCCCUGCAGCCGCGUACAGCGUGGUCACAUGCCAUCCCGACGGACGUGAAGGUGCUGCAGGCCUUACCUAGAGGAUCUUCCCGUCGAAGUUCCACACCAAUAGGUUAGAAACUUACCGCCGUGUAACGUGGUGGCGGUCCCAAAUAUUUUCUUUUUUAUCGCAAGGAGGGGAAGCUUUUCUUUGGAGACGCAACAGCUAGCAUAGUCGAGUGUUCCUAUAAGUUAUAUGCUGUUUAUGGAUUGAAAAUAAACGUAAACCACUUGU